rnacentral:rRNA from 1 species
CGGCCCCUGACAAAGACUGACGCUCAGGUGCGAAGCGUGGGGAGCAAACAGGAUUAGAUACCUGGUAGUCCACGCUGUAAACGAUGUCGAUUUGGAGGUUGUUCCUUGAGGAGUGGCUUCCGGAGCUAACGCGUUAAAUCGACCGCCUGGGGAGUACGGCCGCAAGGUUAAAACUCAAAUGAAUUGACGGGGGCCCGCACAAGCGGUGGAGCAUGUGGUUUAAUUCGAUGCAACGCGAAGAACCUUACCUACUCUUGACAUCCAGAGAAUUUAGCAGAGAUGCUUUAGUGCCUUCGGGAACUCUGAGACAGGUGCUGCAUGGCUGUCGUCAGCUCGUGUUGUGAAAUGUUGGGUUAAGUCCCGCAACGAGCGCAACCCUUAUCCUUUGUUGCCAGCACAUUAUGGUGGGAACUCAAAGGAGACUGCCGGUGAUAAACCGGAGGAAGGUGGGGAUGACGUCAAGUCAUCAUGGCCCUUACGAGUAGGGCUACACACGUGCUACAAUGGCGUAUACAAAGAGAAGCGACCUCGCGAGAGCAAGCGGAACUCAUAAAGUACGUCGUAGUCCGGAUUGGAGUCUGCAACUCGACUCCAUGAAGUCGGAAUCGCUAGUAAUCGUAGAUCAGAAUGCUACGGUGAAUACGUUCCCGGGCCUUGUACACACCGCCCGUCACACCAUGGGAGUGGGUUGCAAAAGAAGUAGGUAGCUUAACCUUCGGGAGGGCGCUUACCACUUUGUGAUUCAUGACUGGGGUGAAGUCGUAACAAGGUAACCA